rnacentral:rRNA from 1 species
AGCAGCCGCGGUAAUUCCAGCUCCAAUAGCGUAUAUUAAAGUUGCUGCAGUUAAAAAGCUCGUAGUUGAAUUUCGGGAUCAGUUGGUCGGUCGUGCCUCGGUACGUACUGGUCAAAUUGAUUCCUACCUUCUGACGAACCACGAUGUCAUUAAUUUGGUGUCGCGGGAAAUCAGGACUGUUACUUUGAAAAAAUUAGAGUGUUUAAAGCAGGCUCGCGCUUGAAUACAUUAGCAUGGAAUAAUGAAAUAGGACGUUUGAUUCUAUUUUGUUGGUUUCUAGGAUCGACGUAAUGAUUAAUAGGGAUAGUUGGGGGCAUUAGUAUUCAAUUGUCAGAGGUGAAAUUCUUGGAUUUAUUGAGGACUAACUACUGCGAAAGCAUUUGCCAAGGAUGUUUUCAUUAAUCAAGAACGAAAGUUAGGGAUCGAAGACGAUCAGAUACCGUCGUAGUC